AAAAAACUCAUAAGGUUUCCUCUUCUUCAUCGCGAAACAUCGAUCAUCCCCAACCACCAUCAAUAACCUUUCUUUUCAGAAACCUAUUUCGUUGUGACCACCACAUAACCGAUGCUUCCGUUCGUCUGUGACCCACCCAUUGUUCCACCUAUUUCAAGCACACCUCACACCCACCUCAACAGCCGCGUAACCACCACGAAACAACCUCUCAUCUCAAAUCUUUGAAUCAC
rnacentral:lncRNA from 1 species